AACGAACGCUGGCGGCAUGCCUAACACAUGCCAGUCGAACGAGACCUACGGGGCUCGUGGCGUACGGGUGCGUAACGCGUGAGAGCCUGCCAUUAGGUUCGGAAUAACUCCCCGACAUGGGUGCUAAUAUCGGAUAAUGUCUUCGGUCCAAAGAUUUCUCGCCUUUGGAUGGGCCCGCGUUGGAUUAGCUAGUUGGUAGGGUAAAGGGCUAUCACGGCGACGAUCCAUAGCGGGUCUGAGAGGAUGAUCAGCAACACUGGGACUGAGACACGGCCCAGACUACUACGGGAGGCAGCAGUGGGGAAGAAUGGACAAUGGGCGAAAGCCUGAUCCAGCAAGGACGCGUGAGGGAUGAAGGCCUUAGGGUUGUAAAGCUCGUUUACCCGGGAGGAGAAUGAAAUGACCGGGAGAAUAAGCGCCGGCUAACUACGUG
rnacentral:rRNA from 1 species